GGGAGCGUCCUUGAGCAAAGCGCCACGCCCCGCGAGGGUAAGCGAUCUACGCCCUACCCCACCGGAGAGCUUCUGGGCGCGUCCCCUUCUCCGGGAGACCUAAGGAGGGCAACCACCGCUCCCAAUCUCCCUUGGCGGCGAGAACUGGAGGCAGGUGCACCCACCACUAGAAUUUGAACAUCCUAAGAACAGGUAUUUUUGUCUCUGCUUUGCUGAUGUAUCCUCAGCAACCGGAACUGCCUGACAUCUGAUCCUUUCUGUGAGACACCAGGCUGUUGAGGAAGAAUCUAUGGCAACAUUGUAUCUAUUAAUAUACAGCUUCUGUAUUUAUCAGGCCCAGUUCUGGUGAUGAUUUCACUUUUGACAGAAGCUGUCCCUCAAAAGCAAACAUGCAAUAGAAGAAACAGAUCUCAAUGGAGUCUCACUCUGUCACCCAGGAUGGAGUACAGUGGCGUGAUCUCGGCUCACUGCAAGCUCCGCCUCCUGGGUUCAUGCCAUUCUCCUGCCUUAGCCU
rnacentral:lncRNA from 1 species